rnacentral:lncRNA from 1 species
GGGAGACAUUACUGUCUCUAAGACUGAAAGGAGGUGGGUGAUAAUGUACCAGAAGCUUCAGUGGGGAGCCUGGAGGAACUGUCACUAUGGAGAGAGUGUGGCUCCUGCUUCAGCUCUCCUGGGCUCUGCAACAGCAGAUGGGGUGUGAGACCGUUGACUGCCGCGUCCCACAAACCUCCUUUU